rnacentral:rRNA from 1 species
UACGUAGGGGGCAAGCGUUGUCCGGAUUUAUUGGGCGUAAAGAGCGUGUAGGCGGCCAGGUAGGUCAGCUGUGAAAACUCGAGGCUCAACCUCGAGACGUCGGUUGAAACCACUUGGCUAGAGUCCGGAAGAGGAGAGUGGAAUUCCUGGUGUAGCGGUGAAAUGACGCAGAUAUCAGGAAGAACACCCGUGGCGAAGGCGGCUCUCUGGGACGGUACUGACGCUGAGACGCGAAAGCGUGGGGAGCGAACAGG